rnacentral:misc_RNA from 1 species
GAUGAGAACGUAGCGAAAUGCGAUAAGUAAUGUGAAUUGCAGAAUUCAGUGAAUCAUCGAAUCUUUGAACGCACCUUGCGCCCUUUGGCCAUUCCGAAGGGCAUGCCUGUUUGAGUAUCAUGAACACCUCAACUCUUUAUGGUUUUCCAUGAUGAGCUUGGACUCUGGGGGUUUUGCUGGCUCACAGUCGGCUCCUCUAAAAUGAAUCAGCUUACCAGUGUUUGGUGGGUAUCAUGGGUGUGAUAACUAUCUACGCUUGUGGUUUUUCCACCAGGUAACCUUCAGCAGUGGAGGUUCGCUGGAGCUCAUAGAUGUCUCUCCUCAGUGAGGACAGCCCUUUGAAUGUUUGAUCUCAAAUCAGGUAGGACUACCCGCUGAACUUAAGCAUAUCAAUAAGCGGAGGA